UACGUAGGGGGCGAGCGUUGUCCGGAAUUAUUGGGCGUAAAGAGCGUGUAGGCUGUUCGGUAAGUCUGCCGUGAAAACCCGAGGCUCAACCUCGGGACGUCGGCGGAAACCAUCUGGCUAGAGUCCGGAAGAGGAGAGUGGAAUUCCCGGUGUAGCGGUGAAAUGCGCAGAUAUCGGGAAGAACACCCGUGGCGAAGGCGGCUCUCUGGGACGGUACUGACGCUGAGACGCGAAAGCGUGGGGAGCGAACAGG
rnacentral:rRNA from 1 species